GAUGAACGCUGGCGGCGUGCCUAAUACAUGCAAGUCGAGCGAACAGACGAGGAGCUUGCUCCUCUGACGUUAGCGGCGGACGGGUGAGUAACACGUGGAUAACCUACCUAUAAGACUGGGAUAACUUCGGGAAACCGGAGCUAAUACCGGAUCAUAUAUUGAACCGCAUGGUUCAAUAGUGAAAGACGGUUUUGCUGUCACUUAUAGAUGGAUCCGCGCCGCAUUAGCUAGUUGGUAAGGUAACGGCUUACCAAGGCAACGAUGCGUAGCCGACCUGAGAGGGUGAUCGGCCACACUGGAACUGAGACACGGUCCAGACUCCUACGGGAGGCAGCAGUAGGGAAUCUUCCGCAAUGGGCGAAAGCCUGACGGAGCAACGCCGCGUGAGUGAUGAAGGUCUUCGGAUCGUAAAACUCUGUUAUUAGGGAAGAAAAACUGUGUAAGUAACCAUGCACGUCUUGACGGUACCUAAUCAGAAAGCCACGGCUAACUACGUG
rnacentral:rRNA from 1 species